GGGGUUAUAGCUCAGUUGGUAGAGCACUGCAAUGGCAUUGCAGGUGUCACCGGUUCGAGUCCGGUUAGCUCCA
rnacentral:tRNA from 1 species